CUUUAUUGGAGAGUUUGAUCCUGGCUCAGGAUGAACGCUGGCGGCGUGCCUAAUACAUGCAAGUCGAGCGAAUGGAUUGAGAGCUUGCUCUCAAGAAGUUAGCGGCGGACGGGUGAGUAACACGUGGGUAACCUGCCCAUAAGACUGGGAUAACUCCGGGAAACCGGGGCUAAUACCGGAUAACAUUUUGAACUGCAUGGUU
rnacentral:rRNA from 1 species